rnacentral:tRNA from 1 species
GCCACCUUAGCUCAGCUGGUAGAGCAGCGGUUUUGUAAACCGCAGGUCGUCGGUUCGAUCCCGACAGGUGGCU